GUCUUGUUUACCUUUCUUCUUCCCUGAAUCGUGCUUUUCUGUUACUUCUUUUAUUGACCUUCGCGUUUUCCUUGCCUUGACGUCCACGACGAGAGUCCUUUGGACUAAAUUCCUAGUCAUUGCACAUAUGCACCAUGAUAUACUAAAAAAACAUUUUUUUUUAAUCGGAAGGAACUAAUAGGAAGGCUAACAUCUAGUGAGCUCGUACUCGUGCCAGUCACUGUCCCAGGAAAUCCCUACUGCCACCUAUGAGGCCGGCCUUACCAUCGCCGCCCCGGACGGGGCAUCAAGUCCCACCACUUAUAUUAAACACGCAAGACUAAAGAUUUGAGAUUAAAAACUUGCCUGAAGUCUUGGAGCGAUGAGUGAAGUCUUUAAAAAUUCAUGAAAUGAAUCCAGUUCACCUAUUACCGAGGUCUCGGUAUGUCUUGCAUGUGGUUCCAGGUGGAGUUUUGGUGCCUCAAACCUCCAAGACUCCCUGCCAAGGAGCCAAGGAGCUACGUGUCUGAGGACCAGGGAACACGCAGAAGCACAGGUGUGUGAUGGGUACGAGGCACGUCCGCUUACGGGUCUGGAGGGCCGGGUCUGGAGGCCAGCAGGGGGUUUCUCUCCCUCGAGUGGAGCCUGGCUGAGUGUGGAGCAGCGAGCCGGCACGGCAGGUUCUAACCCACUCACUGACCCACUGGGUGGGGAGGGCCUGCCCGCCUCACCCUCACGCUGUGGACCGAAACUCUGGACCUCCAGGAACGCCUGAGCCCGGGGAGAGAUGCUGCUGCUCAGGGGUCAGGACUCCAGCAGCCACGAGAAGCCCUGGGGUGCGUCGGGCUGCAGCCCCCAGGCCGAGCCACCCCGUUGCACCACCCGCGAGGGGCUGCCGAGGGGCUGCGGGUGUGGGUGGGAGCACCCUCUCUCCUGGGAGCCGAGCACAGCCGCGGUCUUUGGUGGGCUGAGGCAGGAAGGUGGGGAGAGGGAAACGCAGGUACCUUCUGAACGCUUCUGCCUCAAGGAGACAAAGAUGCCAACAUUGCGAACAUCUCUUGUGGCUGUUUUUCUUUUGUUUGUUUGUUUUUUGGCCUGGUUCAUCUUUUAAGUCCACGUCAGUGGCAUCCCACUCGACGGGUGUCUUGACGCACUAAUGGACUGGGACCCUCACUUGAAAACACUGUUCCGGGAGGUUUGUUGAUGAGAAAGACCCGCUGUCGUCUAUGAACGCUCCCGCGGACGGGUGGUCGUACGCAGGGUAGGAAGCAGGCGCUCCGCUGGGCCGCAGGAGCGGUAAGGAGGACACAGUCUCGAACUGCGAAAACCAGCGCAGUUGGACAGAGGGUUCCUCGGGCAAAGAGGUUAGGGACACCCAGGAACGCUGAACAUCUUUCCACGUGCUUAUUUGCCAUCUGUCUGAGUUCAGGCCGCUGAAGCAGGCCUGGGGGCGGGGGGCACCGCAGUCAGCACGGUUGGGCUCUUCCGGGCUUGCAGACGGGCCGUCUUCCCUUAGGAUCCUCCCAUAUCAGAAGGAACGACCUACUUUUCUCCCCUUUCUUAUAAGGACAGGAGUUCCGUCCCGAAGCUCCACCCUCAGGACUUAAGUUCCUCCCGGAGCACCCGCCUCCUAAUACCGUCACAUUGGGCAUUAGGACUUAAAUGUGACUUUGGGGGAAACAGACAUUCAGUCAUGGCACCCACUGUACAUCCUCUUUGGUGGGAUGAAGACAGCGCCUUUUCCGUGGGAGAGAGAGAGAGUUGGGGGGAGAGAGAGAGAGUUGGGGGCAGCAGCAGAGGGAGGGAGGGGGAGAGAGAGAAUCCUAAGCAGGCUCGAUGCCCAUGAUGAAGCCCCCACAUGGGGCUCGAUCUCAUGACCCCUAGAUCAUGACCUGAACCAAAACCAAGGGUCAGAUGCUUAACCAACUGAGCCACACAGGUGCCCCCAGACAAAA
rnacentral:lncRNA from 1 species